rnacentral:lncRNA from 1 species
UGUAAAUGCGCAUCUCGGUGCAAGCAUCGGUGAACGAUCAUUCCCGUGAGGUGAAAGUCGGCAUCUGCCGCAGCCUAACAUCUGUAUCUGGAGACGGCAGCACCUUGAGUCCAGUCAGGAGAAAACGCAGAAACCGCUGUCUUCCUCCUCUGGCUGCCCAGCUACAGGAAGGACGCUGCCUGGCUGUGGAGUCUCACCUCUACAGAUAGUGGCUGCAUAGAGGACCCCAUGCCUGCCAUCUCCAGCCUGUCGGCCCUCCUACUGACACCCUAUGCUGAAGGCUGGGGCACAUGUCAAUGCCCCUCAGAUCCCACUCUGAGCCCCCAAAUCUGCUUUCAACGCUGCCGCUGCCUCCCAGGAGGCAGAAGCAGAGGGAGCCUCUCCUGUGGCCCUUGGGUUAGUUGGGACAAUUGCUUUCUUCUGUUGCCAGAAAGGUCCUUCCUGUGCCUUCCCUUCCUUGGCCCUUUGUGCCAUGACUCAGCCGGGGGCAUCAGGUGUCAGUAGGGUCCAGUGGCAUACACAAAUGGACAUUGAAGUCAUCACUUGUCGUGCAUGAUGGAGCG